CGAAAUAGUAAAAUGGUUUCCGAAUGAUAACUCAAGAAUGCUUAUGCCUAGGAUCAUGAAACUUGAUAGGUAGUUUGACCAUGACUCGCAGAUGACCCCUAUUGAUUUUCAGGUCACUAGGUCAAAGGUCAAGGUCACAGUGACCCGAAAUAGUAAAAUGGUUUCUGGAUGAUAACUCAAGAAUGCUUAUGCCUAGGAUCAUGAAACUUGAUAGGUAGAUUGAUCAUGACUCGCAGAUGACCCCUAUUGAUUUUGAGGUCACUCGGUCAAAGGUCAAGGUCAGGGUGACCUGAAAUAGUAAAAUGGUUUCCGGAUGAUAACUCAAGAACGCUUAUGCCUAGGAUCAUGAAACUUGUUAGGUACAUUGAUCAUGACUCGCAGAUGACCCCUAUUGAUUUUCAGGUCACUAGGUCAAAGGUCAAGGUCACAGUGACAAAAAACAUAUUUACAAAAUGGCUGUCACUACAACUGAGAGCCCAUAUGGGGGGCAUGCAUGUUUUAUAAACAG